rnacentral:misc_RNA from 1 species
AAAGUGCGAUAAUUCGUGUGAAUUGCGGAAUUCGUGAAUCAUCAAAUUUUUGAACGCAAAUGGCGCCGAUACUUGUAUUGGCACACCUAUUUGAGUGUUGGCUAAAAUCUUCUUAUUCAUUCUAAACGAUGAUUAAGAGAUGUUGAAUGUCAUCCUUUUGAUAAAGGAUUGUCAUUUUAAAUGAAUUAUUUCGAAACCUUUCACUGUGACUUGCAAAGGAAACAUAAAGGAAAAAUCGAUUCGCCAACCAAUUCUUUAACACCCGCGGUGUUAUUGAAAAUCAACCUCAAAUUAGGUGAGAGUACCCGCUGAACUUAA